rnacentral:rRNA from 1 species
AUCAUGGCUCAGGACGAACGCUGGCGGCGUGCCUAAUACAUGCAAGUAGAACGCUGAAGAGAGGAGCUUGCUCUUCUUGGAUGAGUUGCGAACGGGUGAGUAACGCGUAGGUAACCUGCCUGGUAGCGGGGGAUAACUAUUGGAAACGAUAGCUAAUACCGCAUAAAAUGGAUUAUYGCAUGAUARUCAAUURAAAGGUGCAAUUGCAUCACUACCAGAUGGACCUGCGUUGUAUUAGCUAGUUGGUGAGGUAACGGCUCACCAAGGCAACGAUACAUAGCCGACCUGAGAGGGUGAUCGGCCACACUGGGACUGAGACACGGCCCAGACUCCUACGGGAGGCAGCAGUAGGGAAUCUUCGGCAAUGGACGGAAGUCUGACCGAGCAACGCCGCGUGAGUGAAGAAGGUUUUCGGAUCGUAAAGCUCUGUUGUAAGAGAAGAACGAGUGUGAGAGUGGAAAGUUCACACUGUGACGGUAUCUUACCAGAAAGGGACGGCUAACUACGUGCCAGCAGCCGCGGUAAA